UAAGCGAGUAGUGAAAUCUAACAGCUCAACCGUUAGGCUAUUGCUCGAACUGGUAAACUCGAGAAUGGUAGAGGUAACUGGAAUUUCUAGUGUAGGAGUGGAAUCCGUAGAUAUUAGAAGGAACACCAAUGGCGUAGGCAGGUUACUGGACCAUUUCUGACACUGUGGCACGAAAGCGUGGGAGCGAACCGGAUUAGAUACCCGGGUAGUCCACGCCCUAAACGAUGCGAACUG
rnacentral:rRNA from 1 species